rnacentral:lncRNA from 1 species
CACACACACACACACACCUUCACUAUAAGGCAGCUUCUAAAGACCCAGGUCACCUGACCAUCUCCCAGACCACAUUCUGUUUGAUUGUUGCUCCACAGAACACUUCAGGGAGCCAUGGAACAGUGGUAGGCAGCAUUUAAUGAACAAUGGACCGGUCGGGGGCCUCAGUGACGGAGGGUAAGGUCCCUCAGUCGAGCACUGCAUUUCAAGCACAGAUUCAACCACAAAGACCAGGGAGGUUUUCCAAUGGUUAGCAAAGAAGAGCACCUAUUGGUAAUCCGGGGUGUCCUGUUCCUGCUCCCCGCAUUCGACCUGAGGUGCAUGUUACCAGUCUGGCACCACCUAUGCCAGUCCCACGCAUCGGACCUCUAGUGCGCAUCCCUAGUCCGGAGCCUCCAGCGACGCUCCUCAGCCCGGAGCCUCCAGCGACGCUCCUCAGCCCGGAGCCUCCAGCAACACUCCUCAGCCCGGAGCCUCCAGCAACGCUCCUCAGCCCGGAGCCUCCAGCAAAGCUCCUCAGCCAGGAGCCUCCAGCGACACUCCUCAGCCCAAAGCCCUCAGCGGCGGUCUGCAACCCAGAGCCUUCAGCGGUGGUCUGCAACCCAGAGCCUUCAGCGGUGGUCUGCAACCCAGAGCCUUCAGCGGUGGUCUGCAACCCAGAGCCUUCAGCGGUGGUCUGCAACCCAGAGCCUUCAGCGGCGGUCUGCAACCCAGAGCCUUCAGCGGCGGUCUGCAACCCGGAGCCCUCAGCGGCGGUCUGCAGCCC